rnacentral:rRNA from 1 species
CAGCAGCCGCGGUAAUACCGGCGGCCCGAGUGGCGGCCACUAUUAUUGGGCCUAAAGCGUCCGUAGCCGGGCUGGUAAGUCCCCCGGGAAAUCUGGCGGCUUAACCGUCAGAAUUCCGGGGGAUACUGCCAGCCUAGGGACCGGGAGAGGCCGAGGGUAUUCCCGGAGUAGGGGUGAUAUCCUAUAAUCCCGGGAGGACCACCUGUGGCGAAGGCGCUCGGCUGGAACGCGUCCGACGGUGAGGGACGAAGGCCAGGGGAGCAAACCGGAUUAGAUACCCGGGUAGUCCUGGCUGUAAACGAUGCGGACUUUGUGUCGGACAAGCUAUGAGCUUGUCCGGUGCCGGAGGGAAACCGUUAAGUCCGCCGCCUGGGGAGUACGGCCGCAAGGCUGAAACUUAAAGGAAUUGGCGGG